rnacentral:rRNA from 1 species
AUUGAACGCUGGCGGCAGGCUUAACACAUGCAAGUCGAACGAUGAUUCUCUAGCUUGCUAGAGAUGAUUAGUGGCGAACGGGUGAGUAACAUUUAGGAAUUUACCUUUUAGUGGGGGAUAGCUCGGGGAAACUCGAAUUAAUACCGCAUUCGACCUACGGGUGAAAGGGGGCGCAAGCUCUUGCUUGAAGAUGAGCCUAAAUCAGAUUAGCUAGUUGGUAGGGUAAAGGCCUACCAAGGCGACGAUCUGUAACUGGUUUGAGAGGAUGAUCAGUCACACCGGAAAUGAGACCCGGUCCGGACUCCUUCGGGAGGCAGCAGUGGGGAAUAUUGGACAAUGGGGGGAACCCUGAUGCAGCCCUGCCGCGUGUGUGAAGAAGGCCUUCGGGUUGUAAAGCACUUUCAGCGAGGGGGAAAGGUUGGCAGGUAAUACCUGUCAGCUGUGACGUUACUUGCAGAAGAAGCCCCGGCUAACUCCGUGCCC